GACAACGCUGGCGGCGUGCUUAACACAUGCAAGUCGAACGGUAAGGCCCUUCGGGGUACACGAGUGGCGAGCGGGUGAGUAACACGUGGGUGAUCUGCCCUGCACUUCGGGAUAAGCCUGGGAAACUGGGUCUAAUACCGGAUAGGACCACCGCCUGAAUGGGUGGUGGUGGAAAGCUUUUGCGGUGUGGGAUGGGCCCGCGGCCUAGCAGCUUGUUGGUGGGGUGAUGGCCUACCAAGGCGACGACGGGUAGCCGGCCUGAGAGGGCGACCGGCCACACUGGGACUGAGAUACGGCCCAGACUCCUACGGGAGGCAGCAGUGGGGAAUAUUGCACAAUGGGCGCAAGCCUGAUGCAGCGACGCCGCGUGAGGGAUGACGGCCUUCGGGUUGUAAACCUCUUUCAGCACCGACGAAGCGCAAGUGACGGUAGGUGCAGAAGAAGGACCGGCCAACUACGUGCCAGCAGCCGCGGUAA
rnacentral:rRNA from 1 species